AGAGAGGAUAAAUAGCACCAUCCCUUGAAGUUCCUUUAGCCCUAUUUUUGUGUAGUUCUGUAAUGUCUCUGCCCCAAUUGCUCAUCCGCUUACAAUCAUCUGCUUCUUUCCCCACUUACAGGGGUCGGAAACAUCAUAGGCUCAGCUGCUGCUGGAUUCACCCUUGCCAACAUAUAGUGGAGUGAGAUGCUGGAGCAGAAUCUGAUUCAAUGGACAAUCUCAUCUGGUUGACAGAACAGUGGACAAGGGGAUAUCUGUUUCUGUUUCUUGGAUCUGCCAGACCAGAUGUAAGCAAUGGGACUUCAGAGUGUCUCCACCUACCCAGUUCUUGUUGCAUGCUCCAGCUGUCUCCCAGCUCCCGGAUGUUCAGUGGCCACUGGAAGGAUUGUGAAUUUUAGGCCUGCGCUGCCCAAGACGCAUGAAUCCAAAGAAAUAUGGUAUGCCUUCUUUACGCUUCACUGGCAGGAGGUAGGGAAUAAGGGGAGAGAAAGCUGCCAAAGAUAUUCCCUACCUCUUUUGGAG
rnacentral:lncRNA from 1 species